GAGGGGCAGCAUGAACUUAGCUUGCUAAGUUUGAUGGCGACCGGCGCACGGGUGAGUAACACGUAUCCAACCUGCCGAUGACUCGGGGAUAGCCUUUCGAAAGAAAGAUUAAUACCCGAUGGCAUAGUUCUUCCGCAUGGUAGAACUAUUAAAGAAUUUCGGUCAUCGAUGGGGAUGCGUUCCAUUAGGUUGUUGGCGGGGUAACGGCCCACCAAGCCUUCGAUGGAUAGGGGUUCUGAGAGGAAGGUCCCCCACAUUGGAACUGAGACACGGUCCAAACUCCUACGGGAGGCAGCAGUGAGGAAUAUUGGUCAAUGGACGAGAGUCUGAACCAGCCAAGUAGCGUGAAGGAUGACUGCCCUAUGGGUUGUAAACUUCUUUUAUACGGGAAUAAAGUGAGGCACGUGUGCCUUUUUGUAUGUACCGUAUGAAUAAGGAUCGGCUAACUCCGUGCCAGCAGCCGCGGUAAUACGGAGGAUCCGAGCGUUAUCCGGAUUUAUUGGGUUUAAAGGGAGCGUAGGCGGACGCUUAAGUCAGUUGUGAAAGUUUGCGGCUCAACCGUAAAAUUGCAGUUGAUACUGGGUGUCUUGAGUACAGUAGAGGCAGGCGGAAUUCGUGGUGUAGCGGUGAAAUGCUUAGAUAUCACGAAGAACUCCGAUUGCGAAGGCAGCCUGCUGGACUGUAACUGACGCUGAUGCUCGAAAGUGUGGGUAUCAAACA
rnacentral:rRNA from 1 species